rnacentral:tmRNA from 1 species
GGGGUCGUUACGGAAUCGACUGAUAUUGUUCGAGCUAGCACUGCGUUUAGGGGUUGUGGCCCUAUAAUCCACUCAGACGAAUUAACUGCAAAAAAUUCAAACAAUAUGGCUUUCGCUGCUUAAAAACCAGCGUGCCUAACUAGUUGUAGCUGUAGUCACAAGCGUCGACUAGUCAUCAGAUUGUGACCUGCGCGUAACCCUCCCAUCUGAAGUGGUUGCGAAGAGGAUAAUCAGAUUAGCAGAAAUGAUCGCCUUGUUGAUUGGCGUGCAUAAUGCGAAACUCAAAACAAUCGACUAUGAACGUAGAUGUGUUAGUGCCGAGAUGUUAGGACAGGGGUUCAACUCCCCUCGGCUCCAUAG